UACGAAGGGGGCUAGCGUUGCUCGGAAUUACUGGGCGUAAAGCGCACGUAGGCGGCUUUCUAAGUCGGGGGUGAAAUCCUGGAGCUCAACUCCAGAACUGCCUUCGAUACUGGGGAGCUCGAGUCCGGGAGAGGUGAGUGGAACUGCGAGUGUAGAGGUGAAAUUCGUAGAUAUUCGCAAGAACACCAGUGGCGAAGGCGGCUCACUGGCCCGGUACUGACGCUGAGGUGCGAAAGCGUGGGGAGCAAACAGG
rnacentral:rRNA from 1 species